GAAAAUUUAGUUAAACCCCAUAACAUUAGUUUGUCAAGCUAAAAUUAUACGAUUGUAUAUUUUUCG
rnacentral:tRNA from 1 species